rnacentral:lncRNA from 1 species
ACUGGAAGCAAAUACGGAGAAGGCUAGAGAGAGGUACAUCACUUUUGUACCAAAUAAAGUAGAAAAGGUAGAGAGAGAAAUAAGAGAUGGAACCCUUUAGUGGUACUGACAGCAUGAAUUGGAGUACUUUCAAAUACUUUGCAUCUGCAACUCCAGCCAUCUCUUGGAUGUUGAUUACCAAAACAUAUUUUCACCAACACUCCACAAAAAGAAAUGAUCCGAGAUAAGAGAAAACCCUGGUGAGAUAAGAGGGCAAAACAAAUUUGCAUGAUAUACAGGAAAAUUCAAUUAAUGAGUAUGUGAGUGUCCCGUCAAUCUCUAGUCUCUGAGCAUCGUAUCCAAAUUAAACACCAACAAAUAUUCAAAGUGAGAGAGAGAGUAAACUAGAGAGAGAAACAUAGCACGUUCUAGUGAGAGGGAAAAUUCUUCCCUGCCAUCACCCAGGCUUCGCGAUCAGAACAUGGUUGCCCCAUAUACAUCAGAUGCCGCCAUACCAGACCCACUUCUCCUCUCAAUGCGUGGCCUGCUGGGAGCUGAGCAGAGAAAGAGUUGUAUCCCCAAGGCCCGAACAUAAGGCCCAAACUGAUGAGAGAGAACUACUACAAGAAGAACGAAAUACAGAUAAGAGGAGCUGCCGAGUAGAGAACAUAAGGCCCAAAACGAUUGGAGAAGAGCCAAACUGAGAUCAGAGAAGUAUGAGAGGUGAAAUAGAGUUUUCACAUAUCACAGAGAAUACACAGAUCGUAUAAAACCUCGUUUUGAUAUCAUGUGAGAAAUUGUAUUUCUG